rnacentral:rRNA from 1 species
GACGAACGCUGGCGGCGUGCUUAACACAUGCAAGUCGAACGGAAAGGCCUGCUUUCCCUUGUGGAUUGCGGGUACUCGAGUGGCGAACGGGUGAGUAACACGUGAGUGAUCUGCCCCCAACUUGGGUAUAAGCCUGGGAAACUGGGUCUAAUUCCCGAUAGGACUGCAGGGUGGUGCCUGUGGUGGAAGACGAUUUUCUAGUGGUUGGGGAUGAGCUCGCGGCCUAUCAGCUUGUUGGUGGGGUAAUGUCCUACCAAGGCGGUGACGGGUAGCCGGCCUGGGAGCGUGGACGGCCACACUGGGACUGGGAUACGGCCCAGACUGCUACGAGAGGCAGCAGUGGGGAAUAUAGGGCAGUGAGCGGGAGCCUGCAGCAGCGACGCCGCGUGGGGGAUGACGGGCUUGGGGUUGUAAGCUCCUUUCGACCGCGAGGAAGCCACCUGGUUGGAAGGGUGGUGACGGUAGUGGUAGAAGAAGCACCGGCUAACUACGUG